UGGGGAAUAUUGCACAAUGGGCGAAAGCCUGAUGCAGCAACGCCGCGUGAGUGAUGAAGGUCUUCGGAUUGUAAAGCUCUGUCUUUUGGGACGAUAAUGACGGUACCAAAGGAGGAAGCCACGGCUAACUACGUGCCAGCAGCCGCGUAGUAAUACGUAGGUGGCGAGCGUUGUCCGGAUUUACUGGGCGUAAAGGGUGCGUAGGCGGAUGUUUAAGUGAGAUGUGAAAUACCCGGGCUUAACUUGGGUGCUGCAUUUCAAACUGGAUAUCUAGAGUGCAGGAGAGGAGAAUGGAAUUCCUAGUGUAGCGGUGAAAUGCGUAGAGAUUAGGAAGAACACCAGUGGCGAAGGCGAUUCUCUGGACUGUAACUGACGCUGAGGCACGAAAGCGUGGGUAGCAAACAGGAUUAGAUACCCUGGUAGUCCACGCCGUAAACGAUGAGUACUAGGUGUAGGAGGUAUCGACCCCUUCUGUGCCGCAGUAAACACAUUAAGUACUCCGCCUGGGAAGUACGAUCGCAAGAUUAAAACUCUAAAGUGAAUUGAC
rnacentral:rRNA from 1 species